rnacentral:rRNA from 1 species
GACGAACGCUGGCGGCGUGCUUAACACAUGCAAGUCGAACGGAAAGGCCCUGCUUUUGUUGGGUGCUCGAGUGGCGAACGCGUGAGUAACACGUGAGUAACCUGCCCCUGACUUUGGGAUAACUUUAGGAAACUGGGGCUCAUACCGGAUAGGAGCUCCUGCUGCAUGGUGGGGGUUGGUAAGAUGCGGCGGUUGGGGAUGGUCUCGCGGGUUAUGGGCUAGAUGGGGAGGUAGGUGCUGACCAAGGGUAUGAAGGGUAGCAGGCCUGGGCGGUUGACCGGCCACAUGAGUACUGCGGGAGGGCCCAGACGCCAACGGGAGGCAGCAGUCGGGAGUCUGGCGCAGUGGGCGGAAGCCUGAUACGGCAACGCCGCGUGCGGGAUGACGGCCUACGAGUGGUAAACCACUGUCGCCGUUGACGAAGCGGUAGUGACGGUAAUGGAUAAAGAAGCACCGGCUAACUACGUG